rnacentral:rRNA from 1 species
GACAGAGGGUGCAACGUUGCUCGGAAUCACUGGGCGUAAAGGGUGCGUAGGCGGGUCUUUAAGUCAGGGUGAAAUCCUGGAGCUCAACUCCAGAACUGCCUUGAUACUGAAGAUCUUGAGUUCGGGAGAGGUGAGUGGAAGCUGCGAGUGUAGAGGUGAAAUUCGUAGAUAUUCGCAAGAACACCAGUGGCGAAGGCGGAGCUC